UACGAAGGGGGCUAGCGUUGUUCGGAUUUACUGGGCGUAAAGCGCACGUAGGCGGAUCGUUAAGUCGGGGGUGAAAUCCUGGAGCUCAACUCCAGAACUGCCUUCGAUACUGGCGAUCUUGAGUCCGGAAGAGGUGAGCGGAACUCCUAGUGUAGAGGUGGAAUUCGUAGAUAUUAGGAAGAACACCAGUGGCGAAGGCGGCUCACUG
rnacentral:rRNA from 1 species